AUGAACGCUGGCGGCGUGCCUAAUACAUGCAAGUCGAGCGAACAGACGAGGAGCUUGCUCCUCUGACGUUAGCGGCGGACGGGUGAGUAACACGUGGAUAACCUACCUAUAAGACUGGGAUAACUUCGGGAAACCGGAGCUAAUACCGGAUAAUAUAUUGAACCGCAUGGUUCAAUAGUGAAAGACGGUUUUGCUGUCACUUAUAGAUGGAUCCGCGCCGAAUUAGCUAGUUGGUAAGGUAACGGCUUACCAAGGCGACGAUGCGUAGCCGACCUGAGAGGGUGAUCGGCCACACUGGAACUGAGACACGGUCCAGACUCCUACGGGAGGCAGCAGUAGGGAAUCUUCCGCAAUGGGCGAAAGCCUGACGGAGCAACGCCGCGUGAGUGAUGAAGGUCUUCGGAUCGUAAAACUCUGUUAUUAGGGAAGAACAAAUGUGUAAGUAACUAUGCACGUCUUGACGGUACCUAAUCAGAAAGCCACGGCUAACUACGUG
rnacentral:rRNA from 1 species